AGUGAACGCUGGCGGUAUGCCUAACACAUGCAAGUCGAACGGCAGCACAGUAAGAUCUUGCUCUUCCCGGUGGCGAGUGGCGUACGGGUGAGGAAUACAUCGGAAUCUACUUUUUCGCGGGGGAUAACGUAGGGAAACUUACGCUAAUACCGCAUACGACCUACCGGUGAAAGCAGUGGAUCUUCGGACCUUGCGCGAUUGAAUGCGCCGAUGUCGGAUUAGCUAGUUGGCGGGGUAAAGGCCCACCAAGGCGACGAUCCGUAGCUGGUCUGAGAGGAUGAUCAGCCACACUGGAACUGAGACACGGUCCAGACUCCUACGGGAGGCAGCAGUGGGGAAUAUUGGACAAUGGGCGCAAGCCUGAUCCAGCCAGACCGCGUGGGUGAAGAAGGCCUUCGGGUUGUAAAGCCCUUUUGUUGGGAAAGAAAAGCAGCAGGUUAAUACCCCGCUGUUCUGACGGUACCCAAAGAAUAAGCACCGGCUAACUUCGUG
rnacentral:rRNA from 1 species